rnacentral:rRNA from 1 species
UGGGGAAUAUUGGACAAUGGGCGAAAGCCUGAUCCAGCCAUGCCGCGUGUGUGAAGAAGGUCUUCGGAUUGUAAAGCACUUUAAGUUGGGAGGAAGGGCAGUAAGCGAAUACCUUGCUGUUUUGACGUUACCGACAGAAUAAGCACCGGCUAACUCUGUGCCAGCAGCCGCGGUAAUACAGAGGGUGCAAGCGUUAAUCGGAAUUACUGGGCGUAAAGCGCGCGUAGGUGGUUCGUUAAGUUGAAUGUGAAAGCCCCGCGCUCAACCUGGGAACUGCAUCCAAAACUGGCGAGCUAGAUUAGGGCAGAGGGUGGUGGAAUUUCCUGUGUAGCGGUGAAAUGCGUAGAUAUAGGAAGGAACACCAGUGGCGAAGGCGACCACCUGGGCUCAUACUGACACUGAGGUGCGAAAGCGUGGGGAGCAAACAGG